rnacentral:tRNA from 1 species
GGGCUCGUAGCCUAGUCAGGAUAGGGCACCGGCCUCCUAAGCCGGCGGUCGAGGGUUCAAAUCCCUCCGGGUCCG